UCCGUAGGUGAACCUGCGGAAGGAUCAUUACAGAAAGUAAACGCGGAUCAAACCGCGAACUUCUAAACCUUUGACGAUUGACUCAUGUUGCCUCGGCGGGUGCUCCCGCCAGAGGAUACAUCAAAACUCCUGUUUUAACGGUGUUGUCUGAGCUACAAGCAACGAAUCAAAACUUUCAACAACGGAUCUCUUGGUUCUGGCAUCGAUGAAGAACGCAGCGAAAUGCGAUAAGUAGUGUGAAUUGCAGAAUUCAGUGAAUCAUCGAAUCUUUGAACGCACAUUGCGCCCCUUGGUAUCCCGAGGGGCAUGCCUGUUCGAGCGUCAUUUCACCACUCAAGCCUGGCUUGGUGUUGGGCGACGUCCCCUUUGGGGACGCGCCUCGAAACGCUCGGCGGCGUGGCACCGGCUUUAAGCGUAGCAGAAUCUUUCGCUUUGAAAGU
rnacentral:misc_RNA from 1 species